AACGACGGUUCCGAAAUGUCAUGACGUCAGUCUUCCGCUUGGAGGCGCACAACGAGGUGCGCAGUGUGACACCAAGUGGCUUUCUCUUCCUGUCUCGUCAAAUAAAUAGUUCUCUUUAAUCACUGGAUCUUCCUGUAGGCCGUGAUCACACACAGAAGAGGUGGCUGGAAGAACUUGAACGCCUCCGACCCGGUUCAGUGAUGGGUGAUUUUGGACAAGAUGAAAACUUGGAGACAGAUAACUUGGGGGAUUUUUCCCUGAUGAACAGUCGCCUGGAUUCAUUCAACGGCUCCAGCCUGGCCAAGCAGGUGCCAGCGGAAAGAUUGGCCCGAGCGGGCUUUUACUUUACAGGACAAGCCGAUCGUGUCCGAUGUUUUAGCUGCCAGAAGACAGUGGAGAACUGGUGCAGUGGAGACACACCUGUAGAGAGGCAUAAAGAGGUUUCCCCAACAUGCAAGUUUCUCAGCUGCACACACCGCCCAAAUUUCAGCUCACUUUAUGGAACCACGCUGACUAACGGUUCCAUCUACAAUGAGGCAGCUGAAGACAUGGAGUAUCGUUUAAGAACAGGGGCGGUGGUUGAUGAGUCCACUUAUCCAAUGGCCCCUCACAUGAGGAGUGAGGAGGCCCGGCUUCAGACCUUCUCCUCUUGGCCCUCUACAGCUCCUGUGAGACCCCAACAUCUGGCUCAAGCUGGCCUCUACUACCUAGGAGAGGGUGAUUGGGUGCAGUGCUUCUGCUGCGGUGGCAUGCUGGGCGGCUGGGAAGCAAACACCGCCUGGGGCAAACACACCAAUUAUUUCCCUAACUGCUUCUUCAUCCUUGGGCAUGAUGUGGGAAACAUUCCAUUACAAGGGGGUACAGUGGAGGAAGAGGGCGGCCGUAGACAGCGUGCUAACAAUCAUGUUCCUAUGGAGAGUUUUGAUGAGAGGCUUGGCAGCUUUGCAGGCAUCCAGCACCCUAUAGACCAUGAGAGGCUUGCCAGAGCCGGCUUCUACAGCACAGGUACAGGAGACAAGGUGUUGUGUUUCUGUUGUGGUGGAGGUCUAAAAGGCUGGCAGACUGAAGAAGACCCUUGGGAAGAACACGCCAAACACUACCCUGGAUGCAGCUUCCUGUUGGCAGAAAAAGGACAAGAAUUUGUGAACAACAUCCAGCUACAAGACCCACGAGGAAAUAGAGCUGCUUCAAGUCAUCAGAAUGGAUAUUCAGGAGAAAGGAAUGGUAAAUAAUACUUUAUUUUUAAUUUGAGUAUGGUUGUUUUGGUAUUGCACACUGGGUACUCCAGUCUUGAGGAACUCAUAGAGGAUUGUCUUAAAACACAAGAAAACAAUCCCGCAAAUUCACAAGAGCAAGAUGAGGACCCACUGGAGAAACUACGCAAGCUGCAGAGGGAGAAACAGUGCAAAAUAUGUAUGGACAGAGAUAUUUGUAUUGUCCUCAUACCCUGCUGUCAUCUGGUCACCUGUAAGGAGUGUUCAGAGUCACUCACCAAGUGUCCAAUCUGCUGUGGAGUCAUAACACAGAAGAUCAAGACCUUUAUCGCUUAAGGGAAUCACAAAUUCUUGCCCCAUUUCAAUGCUGCUUUCUUAUUAUAUAUAAUAUUUUAUUUUAAUAAUCAAUGUAGAUAGCCUGUAAUGUAUAUAAAUGAAGACCAUGUUUAUAUGAGUAUGAAAGAAUGAGUGCAUGUCACAAGAAAACACUAUUUUCACAAUCACUUGAUCCUAAAUAGAUGUUGAUAAUGAGCUGGCAUGAGCGGAUGUUAAUAAUAUUGGCUAUCAGAGUAUUGCCGCCUGUAAAUACACACUAAUGGACAGUUCCAAUUUUAAAACACUCUCUUCCCUCAAGUGCCUUUCUCUAGGGUUAAAUUGUCCUGUCUUGUUUUGUCUUGUUUUGUUUUUUCCUUUUUUUUCCUCUUGUUUUUGUGACAUUUUAAAUUUUUAAACAUUUUAAUAAAAGUGGGCAUGGGAUGUAAAAUCAGUCAGUUCCAUAAGCAUAUGUAUCUCAUCUACUCAUCUAUUUUAUCUAGUGUACAUUUUGUUUUAGACUAAGUUUGCUGCUCUGGCCGGUAGGUAGGUUGUGGAAUUGGAUUUAUAAGUAACAAAAAUCCACUUUGGUUCAGGGCCUACAGAUGAUCUGUGUGUCCUGAAAUAAAUGUAUCAUUCCAUCAGUCAA